rnacentral:rRNA from 1 species
AUACGUAGGUGGCAAGCGUUGUCCGGAAUUAUUGGGCGUAAAGCGCAUGUAGGCGGUUUGGUAAGUCGGUCGUGAAAAUGCGGUGCUUAACGCCGUAUGGCGAUUGAAACUGCUGAACUUGAGUGCAGGAGAGGAAAGGGGAACUCCCAGUGUAGCGGGGAAAUGCGUAGAUAUUGGGAAGAACACCGGUGGCGAAGGCGCCUUUCUGGACUGUGGCGGGCGCUCCGAUGCGAAAGCCAGGGUAGCGAACGGGAUUAGAUACCCCGGUAGUCCUGGCCGUAAACGAUGGUUACUAGGUGUGGGAGGUAUCGACUCCUUCCGUGCCGGAGUUAACGCAAUAAGGAUUCCGCCUGGGGAGUACGGCCGCAAGGUUGAAACUCAAAUGAAUUGACGGGG